CUACGCGACGCAGCAGUGGGGAAUAUUGGACAAUGGGGGAAACCCUGAUCCAGCAAUGCCGCGUGCGUGAAGAAGGCCUGCGGGUUGUAAAGCACUUUCGGUUGGGAGGACUGCUUCUAGCACUAAUAUUGUUGGAAGUUGACGUUACCUUCAGAAGAAGCACCGGCUAACUCCGUGCCAGCAGCCGCGGUAAUACGGAGGGUGCAUGCGUUAAUCGGAAUUACUGGGCGUAAAGCGCGCGUAGGCGGCUAGAUCAGUCGGGUGUGAAAGCCCCGGGCUUAACCUGGGAACUGCAUCCGAUACUGUCUAGCUUGAGUACAGGAGAGGAGAGUGGAAUUCCACAUGUAGCGGUGAAAUGCGUAGAUAUGUGGAGGAACACCAAUGGCGAAGGCAGCUCUCUGGCCUGAUACUGACGCUGAGGUGCGAAAGCGUGGGGAGCAAACAGGAUUAGAUACCCCCGUAGUC
rnacentral:rRNA from 1 species